rnacentral:snRNA from 1 species
AAGCGUUCCAUAUUUUUACCAUGAUCACGAAGGUGGUUUUCCCAGGGCGAGGCUUAUCCAUUGCACUCCGGAUGUGCUGACCCCUGCGAUUUCCCCAAAUGUGGGAAACUCGACUGCAUAAUUUGUGGUAGUGGGGGACUGCGUUCGCGCUUUCCCCUG